rnacentral:rRNA from 1 species
CAUGGUUGUCGUCAGCUCGUGUCGUGAGAUGUUGGGUUAAGUCCCGCAACGAGCGCAACCCCUAUUGUUAGUUGCCAUCAUUCAGUUGGGCACUCUAGCGAGACUGCCGGUAAUAAACCGGAGGAAGGUGGGGAUGACGUCAAAUCAUCAUGCCCCUUAUGACCUGGGCUACACACGUGCUACAAUGGUUGGUACAACGAGUUGCGAGUCGGUGACGGCGGGCUAAUCUCUUAAAGCCAAUCUCAGUUCGGAUUGUAGGCUGCAACUCGCCUACAUGAAGUCGGAAUCGCUAGUAAUCGCGGAUCAGCACGCCGCGGUGAAUACGUUCCCGGGCCUU